AUCAUGUAUGUAACAGCAUUAACUCCAUUUGUCCUGCUCUUUAUUCUCCUCGGCCGCAGCGUCUCUCUGAGUGGUUCGAUUGAAGGAAUAAAAUAUUUUUUAAAACCUGAUAUUGGUAAACUGGCUUCUAUUGAGAUAUGGUCAGACGCUGGAACUCAAAUUUUCUUUUCUUAUACCUUAGCUUGUGGUGCCCUGACUGCACUGGGGUCUCACAACAAACCAAACCACAAUACCUAUCGAGAUGUAUAUGGCUAUUCUUGCAUGAAUUCGUUCUGCAGUAUUAUAUCUGGAUUUGUUAUAUUUCCUGUACUUGGGUUCAUGGCAAAGCGUCAACACGUCCCAAUUGAUGCUGUUGCCGACUCUGGU